rnacentral:rRNA from 1 species
UAGAGUUUGAUCAUAGCUCAGGAUGAACGCUGACGCCGUGCUUUAACACAUGCAAGUCGCACGGUGAAACCAAGCUUGCUUGGUGGAUCAGUGGCGAACGUGUGAGUAACACGUGAGCAACCUGCCCUGGACUCUGGGAUAAGCGCUGGAGACGGCGUCUAAUACAAGAUAUGAGAAGGGAUGGGAUCGUCGCGUGACUUAAGAAAACAUUUCCGGUCAGGAAUGGGCGACGGCCCUAUCAGCUUCUGGGUGAGGUAUGGCUCACCAGGGCGUAGACGGGUAGCCGGCCUGAGAGGGUGUCCGGCCACACUGGGACUGAGACACGGCCCAGACUCCUACGGGAGGCAGCAGUGGGGAAUAUUGCACAAUGGGCGAAAUCCUGAUGCAGCAACGCCGCGUGAGGGAUGUCGGCCUUCGGGUUGUAAACCUCUUUUAGCAGGGAAGAAGCGAAAGUGACGGUACCUGCAGAAAAAGCUCCGGCUAACUACGUGCCAGCAGCCGCGGUAAUACGUAGGGCGCAAUGCGGUAUAUCCGGAAUUAUUGGGCGUAAAGAGCUCGUAGGCGGUUUGUCGCGUCUGCUGUGAAAUCCCGAGGCUCAACCUCGGGCCUGCAGUGGGUACGGGCAGACUAGAGUGCGGUAGGGGAGAUUGGAAUUCCUGGUGUAGCGGUGGAAUGCGCAGAUAUCAGGAGGAACACCGAUGGCGAAGGCCAGAUCUCUGGGCCGUAACUGACGCUGAGGAGCGAAAGGGUGGGGAGCAAACAGGCUUAGAUACCCUGGUAGUCCACCCCGUAAACGUUGGGAACUAGUUGUGGGGACCAUUCCACGGUUUCCGUGACGCAGCUAACGCAUUAAGUUCCCCGCCUGGGGAGUACGGCCGCAAGGCUAAAACUCAAAGGAAUUGACGGGGACCCGCACAAGCGGCGGAGCAUGCGGAUUAAUUCGAUGCAACGCGAAGAACCUUACCAAGGCUUGACAUAUACGAGAACGGGCCAGAAAUGGUCAACUCUUUGGACACUCGUAAACAGGUGGUGCAUGGUUGUCGUCAGCUCGUGUCGUGAGAUGUUGGGUUAAGUCCCGCAACGAGCGCAACCCUCGUUCUAUGUUGCCAGCACGUAAUGGUGGGAACUCAUGGGAUACUGCCGGGGUCAACUCGGAGGAAGGUGGGGAUGACGUCAAAUCAUCAUGCCCCUUAUGUCUUGGGCUUCACGCAUGCUACAAUGGCCGGUACAAAGGGCUGCAAUACCGUGAGGUGGAGCGAAUCCCAAAAAGCCGGUCCCAGUUCGGAUUGAGGUCUGCAACUCGACCUCAUGAAGUCGGAGUCGCUAGUAAUCGCAGAUCAGCAACGCUGCGGUGAAUACGUUCCCGGGUCUUGUACACACCGCCCGUCAAGUCAUGAAAGUCGGUAACACCUGAAGCCGGUGGCCCAACCCUUGUGGAGGGAGCCGUCGAAGGUGGGAUCGGUAAU